rnacentral:rRNA from 1 species
AGAUUAGGUAGUUGGUGGGGUAAAGGCUUACCAAGCCUACGAUCAGUAGCUGGUUUGAGAGGAUGAUCAGCCACAUUGGGACUGAGACACGGCCCAAACUCCUACGGGAGGCAGCAGUGGGGAAUAUUGGACAAUGGGCGAAAGCCUGAUCCAGCCAUGCCGCGUGAGUGAUGAAGGCCCUAGGGUUGUAAAGCUCUUUUGUGCGGAACGAAAAAGCUCUCUCUAAUACAGGGGGAUAAUGACGGUACCGCAAGAAUAAGCCCCGGCUAACUUCGUGCCAGCAGCCGCGGUAAUACGUAGGGUGCAAGCGUUAAUCGGAAUUACUGGGCGUAAAGCGUGCGCAGGCGGUUUUGUAAGACAGAGGUGAAAUCCCCGGGCUCAACCUGGGAACUGCCUUUGUGACUGCAAAGCUGGAGUGCGGCGGAGGGGGAUGGAAUUCCGCGUGUAGCAGUGAAAUGCGUAGAUAUGCGGAGGAACACCGAUGGCGAAGGCAAUCCCCUGGGCCUGCACUGACGCUCAUGCACGAAAGCGUGGGGAGCAAACAGGAUUAGAUACCCUGGUAGUCCACGCCCUAAACGAUGUCAACUGGUUGUUGGGAAUUCACUUUCUCAGUAACGAAGCUAACGCGUGAAGUCGACCGCCUGGGGAGUACGGCCGCAAGGUUAAAACUCAAAGGAAUUGACGGGGACCCGCACAAGCGGUGGAUGAUGUGGUUUAAUUCGAUGCAACGCGAAAAACCUUACCCACCUUUGACAUGUACGGAAGUUGCCAGAGAUGGCUUCGUGCUCGAAAGAGAGCCGUAACACAGGUGCUGCAGGCUUGUCGUCAGCUCGUGUCGUGAGAUGUUGG